CCUACGGGUGGCAGCAGUGAGGAAUAUUGGUCAAUGGACGAGAGUCUGAACCAGCCAAGUAGCGUGAAGGAUGACUGCCCUAUGGUUUGUAAACUUCUUUUAUAUGGGAAUAAAAUGUUCCACGUGUGGGAUUUUGUAUGUACCAAAUGAAUAAGGAUCGGCUAACUCCGUGCCAGCAGCCGCGGUAAUACGGAGGAUCCGAGCGUUAUCCGGAUUUAUUGGGUUUAAAGGGAGCGUAGGUGGAUUGUUAAGUCAGUUGUGAAAGUUUGCGGCUCAACCGUAAAAUUGCAGUUGAAACUGGCAGUCUUGAGUACAGGAGAGGUGGGCGGAAUUCGUGGUGUAGCGGUGAAAUGCUUAGAUAUCACGAAGAACUCCGAUUGCGAAGGCAGUUCACUGGACUGCAACUGACACUGAGGCUCGAAAGUGUGGGUAUCAAACAGGAUUAGAUACCCGAGUAGUC
rnacentral:rRNA from 1 species